rnacentral:rRNA from 1 species
ACGUAGGGUGCGAGCGUUGUCCGGAAUUAUUGGGCGUAAAGGGCUCGUAGGCGGUUUGUCGCGUCGGGAGUGAAAACCAGGUGCUUAACACCUGGCUUGCUUUCGAUACGGGCAGACUAGAGGUAUGCAGGGGAGAACGGAAUUCCUGGUGUAGCGGUGAAAUGCGCAGAUAUCAGGAGGAACACCGGUGGCGAAGGCGGUUCUCUGGGCAUGACCUGACGCUGAGGAGCGAAAGUGUGGGGAGCGAACAGGAUUAGAUACCCUGGUAGUCCACACCGUAAACGUUGGGCGCUAGGUGUGGGGUCCAUUCCACGGAUUCCGUGCCGCAGCUAACGCAUUAAGCGCCCCGCCUGGGGAGUACGGCCGCAAGGCUA